rfam:Schistosoma mattheei strain Denwood, Zambia genome assembly, scaffold: SMTD_scaffold0001600
AUCCAGCUGACGAGUUCCAACUAGGACGAAACGCGCACUCUGGAU